rnacentral:rRNA from 1 species
AUUGAACGCUGGCGGAAGGAAGAACACAUGCAAGUCGAGCGGAUGAAGGGAGCUUGCUCCUGGAUUCAGCGGCGGACGGGUGAGUAAUGCCUAGGAAUCUGCCUGGUAGUGGGGGAUAACGUCCGGAAACGGGCGCUAAUACCGCAUACGUCCUGAGGGAGAAAGUGGGGGAUCUUCGGACCUCACGCUAUCAGAUGAGCCUAGGUCGGAUUAGCUAGUUGGUGGGGUAAAGGACUACCAAGGCGACGAUCCGUAACUGGUCUGAGAGGAUGAUCAGUCACACUGGAACUGAGACACGGUCCAGACUCCUACGGGAGGCAGCAGUGGGGAAUAUUGGACAAUGGGCGAAAUCCUGAUCCAGCCAUGCCGCGUGUGUGAAGAAGGUCUUCGGAUUGUAAAGCACUUUAAGUUGGGAGGAAGGGCAGUACGUUAAUACCUUGCUGUUUUGACGUUACCAACAGAAUAAGCACCGGCUAACUUCGUG